CCCCACAUUAGUUCUUCUUCCUUCAUAGAAGCUCAGAAGGAGGAAGAACAGUACCAGGGCCCUGCCCCUCCUACCAUCUCCCUGGGGGCCAGGUGGAGGGUUGACAGCUCCCUGUGUCGUCUCAUUUUGAGUAACAAGAGAGGACCAGCAUGGCCCCAGAAAUCCUAUUGCUGCUGCUGCUGUCACUAGGAAACUCAGGCAAGCCAGGGAGGACUUGGGCUGAGCUCCAGUACCAGGAGUUGAGACCGAGGUCUCCAGACUACAGGAGACCAGAACAGGCUGAGGAAGAGUACAGACGACUGGAAGGGGAGACGUUCAGUGUGAACUGCUCCUACGAGUCCCAGGAGCAUGAACAUAGAUGGAUGUCUUGGUGUAAAAAGCAAGAGAAUGGAGACGAGUGUGGCAUACCACGCUUAGAAACAAGCUCCAACUUUUCCGUGGCAGGCAAUGAAUAUUUGUCCGCUUAUGAUAAUAAUAGUGGCAUUAUCACCAUCACUAUCACAAAGUUCAGUCUCAGAGUAAAGGAUUCAGGUGACUAUGAGUGUGUGAUGCCUGAAGAACCUGAUAAGAGGAAAGAAGUCUUCAGGAGAUUCCACCUAGUGGUGUCCCCAGGUGAUGACUCUGAGACCCAGGGAGAGAAGUCAAAGGGCUCUGCAAUGAAGAUGGAGAGUGAUGAGGAUGCUGAAGACAUCCAUUAUGCCAUAGUGUCCAACAGAAGCCCCAGAGAGCUGAUCAAUACCAAAACUCAUACUCCUAUUGAGUCUGUGGAAUACGCUACCAUAACAAGGAAUUGAUGUCAGCUGCCCAAAUCAAAUGCUCCUCAGAAUCCAAUGUGGAGGGACUAGGAGAGUUCACUAUCAGCAAUGUUGGUGAAUCAUGUCUCCUUCAGCAAAGAAGUGGUAGAACAAAAAUGUAUGGAAAUGAGAAAUAUGUUAUUAGACAAGGACCAUAUAUAGAUUUGUUUUGCUUAGCUAUAUUUCUUUGUUGGGAGGGAGGGUUCUAUAGGAUUUUUUUGAGGGGGGUAGUAAGAAAUGGUAGCAUUGUAAAAAAGCCCAGCAUGAAUAAAACACCUUUUUUAUGUAUUAAACA
rnacentral:lncRNA from 1 species